rnacentral:rRNA from 1 species
GACGUAGGGCGCAAGCGUUGUCCGGAUUUAUUGGGCGUAAAGAGCGCGCAGGCGGUCGUUCAAGUCGCGUGUGAAAGCCCCCGGCUCAACUGGGGAGGGUCACGCGAUACUGAUCGACUCGAAGGCAGGAGAGGGUAGUGGAAUUCCCGGUGUAGUGGUGAAAUGCGUAGAUAUCCGGAGGAACACCAGUGGCGAAGGCGGCCGCCUGGACCUGACCUGACGCUGAGGCGCGAAGGCGUGGGGAGCGAACGGG